AAACCCAAUAAGUAAGAAGUUUUCAAAUAAAAACUAAUAAAAGUCAGAGAUCACAGGUAAGGGGGUUGGUUACACAGCGGGAAGGUGUUAGCACCCAAAGUGUCCUAGGUGAAGGUGAGAAAAACAAGAAAGGGGGGUUUGAAUUGUUUUAGAAAUUAAAAGCUUUUUCAAAAGUAAGAACACACAAAAUUUUAUACUAGUUCGCUUAUAACACAAAGCUAC
rnacentral:lncRNA from 1 species